rnacentral:rRNA from 1 species
CGCAUCUGUGCAUGCAGCAUAUCAAUAAGCGGAGGAAAAGAAACUAACAAGGAUUCCCUUAGUAACGGCGAGUGAAGAGGGAAGAGCUCAAAUUUGAAAUCUUCAAGGUUUUACCUUGACGAAUUGUAGUUUAAAGAAGUGUUUUCUGUUGAAGUUUUGGUAAAAGUUCUUUGGAAUAGGACAUCAUAGAGGGUGAGAAUCCCGUAUUUGACCAUUAUUUUCAGCUGUGUGAUACACUUUCAAAGAGUCGGAUUGUUUGGGAAUGCAGUCCAAAAUGGGUGGUAAAUUUCAUCUAAAGCUAAAUAUUGGCGAGAGACCGAUAGCGAACAAGUACCGUGAGGGAAAGAUGAAAAGAACUUUGAAAAGAGAGUUAAACAGUACGUGAAAUUGUCAAAAGGGAAGCGUUUGACACCAGUGUUGUUUUCUCGAAAAUCAAUUAAAAAGAGUUAGAUUUUGUUGUGUAUUGACCUUAACAGCUUGCAUUUCAAUUUUCUUGCUUUUUUUAAUGCACUUUUCGUUUAACAAGUCAACAUCAGUUUCUUUUGUUGUAAAAAGGUCAGUUGGAAGGUGGCUUUCUUUUCGGAGAAAGUGUUUAUAGCCUUUGACUCCUGCAAUCGGAGAGACUGAGGUCUGCAGCGUAGAUCCUUCGGGGUUAGAUACAUUUGUGCUAAGUUAUAGCUUUUUAUAGACAACUUGUUGACUAUGAUUAGUCUUGUAGCUUACUCGCUUAUGCUACUUUUACCUACGCUUAGGAUGUUGAUCUGUAGUGCGUGCGC